rnacentral:rRNA from 1 species
UCCUAGGGACGCAGCAGUGGGGAAUAUUGCACAAUGGGCGCAAGCCUGAUGCAGCGACGCCGCGUGCGGGAUGGAGGCCUUCGGGUUGUAAACCGCUUUUGUUCAAGGGCAAGGCACGGUCUUUGGCCGUGUUGAGUGGAUUGUUCGAAUAAGCACCGGCUAACUACGUGCCAGCAGCCGCGGUAAUACGUAGGGUGCAAGCGUUAUCCGGAUUUAUUGGGCGUAAAGGGCUCGUAGGCGGUUCGUCGCGUCCGGCGUGAGAGUCCAUCGCUUAACGUUGGAUCCGCGCCGGGU